rnacentral:rRNA from 1 species
AUAGCGUAUAUUAAAGUUGUUGUGGUUAAAAAGCUCGUAGUUGAACCUUGGGCCUGGCUGGCCGGUCCCCCUCACCGGGUGCACUGAUCCAGCCGGGUCUUUCCCGCUGUGGAACCCCAUGGCCUUCACUGGUCGGGGUGGGGAAACAGGACUUUUACUUUGAAAAAAUUAGAGUGUUCCAAGCAGGCCUAUGCCUGAAUACAUUAGCAUGGAAUAAUAAAAUAGGACGUGUGGUUCUAUUUUGUUGGUUUCUAGAGCCGCCGUAAUGAUUAAUAGGGACAGUCGGGGGCAUCAGUAUUCAAUUGUCAGAGGUGAAAUUCUUGGAUCUAUUGAAGACUAACUACUG